rnacentral:rRNA from 1 species
AGAGUUUGAUCCUGGCUCAGACCGAACGCUGGCGGCAGGCUUAACACAUGCAAGUCGAACGCCCCUUCGGGGGAGUGGCGCACGGGUGAGUAACGCGUGGGAACGUACCCUUCACUACGGAACAACGUCGGGAAACUGACGCUAAUACCGUAUAAUGUCUUCGGUCCAAAGAUUUAUCGGUGAAGGAUCGGCCCGCGUUGGAUUAGGUAGUUGGUGGGGUAAUGGCCUACCAAGCCGACGAUCCAUAGCUGGUCUGAGAGGAUGAUCAGCCACACUGGGACUGAGACACGGCCCAGACUCCUACGGGAGGCAGCAGUGAGGAAUAUUGGACAAUGGGGGAAACCCUGAUCCAGCCAUGCCGCGUGAGUGAUGAAGGCCUUCGGGUUGUAAAGCUCUUUUAGAUGUGAAGAUAAUGACGGUAGCAUCAGAAAAAGCUCCGGCUAAAUUCGUGCCAGCAGCCGCGGUAAUACGAAUGGAGCAAGCGUUGUUCGGAAUCACUGGGCUUAAAGAGUGCGUAGGCGGAUCAACAAGUCAGGAGUGAAAUCCCAGGGCUCAACCCUGGAACUGCUCUUGAAACUGUCGAUCUAGAAUCCCGGAGGGGCCAGUAGAAUUCUCAGUGUAGAGGUGAAAUUCGCAGAUAUUGAGAGGAAUACCAGUGGCGUAGCGACUGGCUGGACGGGUAUUGACGCUGAGGCACGAAAGCGUGGGUAGCAAACAGGAUUAGAUACCCUGGUAGUCCACGCCGUAAACGAUGUGUGCUAGUUGUCGGGACCUUAAGGUUUCGGUGACGGAGCGAAAGUUUUAAGCACACCGCCUGGGGAGUACGGCCGCAAGGUUAAAACUCAAAGGAAUUGACGGGGACCCGCACAAGCGGUGGAGCAUGUUGUUUAAUUCGAAGCAACGCGAAGAACCUUACCCACUCUUGACAUACCUCUUGGGACUUUCAGAGAUGAUUGUCUUCGGUUCGGCCGGGGAGGAUACAGGUGCUGCAUGGCUGUCGUCAGCUCGUGUCGUGAGAUGUUUGGUUAAGUCCAGCAACGAGCGCAACCCUUAUUGUCUGUUGCCAUCAUUUAGUUGGGCUCUCUGACAAGACUGCCGGUGAUAAGCCGGAGGAAGGCGGGGACGACGUCAAGUCAUCAUGGCCCUUACGAGUGGGGCUACAAACGUGCUACAAUGGUAGUGACAGUGAGCAGCCAGGCCGCGAGGUCGAGCUAAUCUCAAAAAGCUAUCUCAGUUCAGAUUGCACUCUGCAACUCGAGUGCAUGAAGUCGGAAUCGCUAGUAAUCGCGCAUCAGCGUGUCGCGGUGAAUACGUUCCCGGGUCUUGUACACACCGCCCGUCAAGUCAUGGGAGUUGGUUCUACCUGAAGGUGGUGUGCUAACUUCGGAGGCAGCCAACCACGGUAGGAUCAGCGACUGGGACUAAGUCGUAACAAGGUAGCCGU